rnacentral:lncRNA from 1 species
CAAGCUUAAUCAUGGAGGGUACCUCACGAAGAAAUGUUGGAGCAAUCGGUGUCCACAGCGAGGAAGCCAGAGGGUGACAGUGCCCUGGAUAAGAGUGUUUCCCACUCCACUCAGCCACGCAACCCCUGCCAGAGCCUGGCACAGCUGAGGGUUCAUUACGGCGGUAUAGUGGAGAGGUUUGCAAACUGCAGCAUAGCGAUCAAAAGCCAUUACAGCCAGGAGGACACACUCAGUGGAGCCCAAUGCCAGGGAGAUGUAGAGCUGGAUGACACAACCCAGGAAUGUGAUUGUUUUGUCAGGUCCUUUUAGGUUCCACAGCAGCUGGGGGACAAUACUGGUGGUAAAACAGAUAUCAACUAAGGAGAGG